rnacentral:rRNA from 1 species
UUUAGUUGCCAUCAGGUUAAGCUGGGGACGUCUAAAGGAACUGCCUACGCAAGUAGUGAGGAAGGCGGGGAGUGACGUCAAAUCAGCACGGCCCUUACGUCCAGGGCUACACACGUGCUACAAUGGCCGAUACAGAGGGCAGCUACCUGGUGACAGGAUGCAAAUCUCCAAAGUCGGUCUCAGUUCGGAUCGGAGUCUGCAACCCGACUCCGUGAAGUUGGAUUCGCUAGUAAUCGCGCAUCAGCCAUGGCGCGGUGAAUACGUUCCCGGGCCUU